AUGAUGGACUAUAGGACAGGACUGCUGCUGUUAACUAUCUGCUGGGCAGGUGUUGAUGGUCAGACUCUGACAGAAUCUGAACCAGUGGUUAAAAGGCCUGGAGAAUCUCACAGAUUGACCUGUACAGCCUCUGGAUUCACAUUCAGCAGCCACUCUGUGAACUGGGUCAGACAGGCUCCUAGAAAAGGACUGGAGUGGGUUGCAUAUAUCAGAUAUGACAGUGCCUACAUCUACUACUCAGAUUCAGUGAAAGGCCGGUUUACCAUCUCCAGAGACAACAGCAGACAGCAGGUGUAUCUGCAGAUGAACAGUCUGAGGACUGAAGACUCUGCUGUUUAUUAUUGUGCUCGAGACUCACAGUGAUUGGAGUUGGUUGAGCAGCUGUACAAAAAUCUGCAGUCCUCAUCUUUCA